rnacentral:rRNA from 1 species
CAGCCCUUGACUUCCCGCAUCGGGGGACCAGAGAUGGACCUCUUCAAUUCGGCUGGUCGGUGCACAGGUGCUGCAUGGCUGUCGUCAGCUCGUGUCGCGAGAUGUUGGGUUAAGUCUCGCAACGAGCGCAACCCCUGCCAUUAGUUGUCAUCAUUAAGUUGGGCACUCUAGUGGGACUGCCGGUGAUAAGCCGGAGGAAGGUGGGGAUGACGUCAAGUCAUCAUGGCCCUUACGGGCUGGGCUACACACGUGCUACAAUGGCGGUGACAAUGGGCAGCCACUCUGCGAGGAGGAGCUAAUCCCAAAAAGCCGUCUCAGUUCGGAUUGUUCUCUGCAACUCGAGAGCAUGAAGUCGGAAUCGCUAGUAAUCGCGGAUCAGC